AUACUUACCUGGCAGGGGAGAUACCAUGAUCACGAAGGUGGUUUUCCCAGGGCGAGGCUUAUCCAUUGCACUCCAGAUGUGCUGACCCCUGCGAUUUCCCCGAAUUAAAAAAAAAAAAAAAAAAAGAUCCCGAACUAACAGUAAAAACUAUAGAACAGCAAAAUGAU